AACGGCCCUAGAACCCUACAACCUUCACCCCACUCUGUCUUCCCUUGAAAUAAGCCUGUGACCACGGAAGGGGAGCAGAGCCCACAGAAACCUAGAGCCGAAGGAGCAUUUCUAGCCCCCAUGAGCAAGAAGAGGGGGACCAGCCCGGAAGUCUCUCCAAGAGCCCCAAAGUCCAGGAAUCCCCACCAAAGGAUUCAGAAACAGCGCCCACAGUCCGGGGCCCCUCUGAACGGUGGGUACGAGUUUAAGGAGCUGCCGGCCUAGAGUGGGGUGGGGACUGACAAAUGAGCCAGGGGCACUGGGGAGGGUAGGAGGCCGGGCCUCGGCUCUUCCCCCGUCCCUGCGGCACUGCUGCUGCAUCAUACCGACUGGGGGGAGGAGAGCCGAGCCGCCCGAGGCCGGCGCCGGUCCGGGACAGACCGACCCCUAGAGAGUGGGCAGAGUGGGACGCGUCCCGGCCCCUCUCCUUCCCCGCCCGCCGACAGCCCCAGCCGGCCGGGGAGAGGAGUCCGGGAGGGUGUCUCUAUUGUCCCGGGGGCUGGGGCCUGGCUCCCUAACAAAGGCCCCGCGCCCCCUCCCCGGCCGGCCCUGCCCCGCCCAGGGGGGACCCAAACAGGGGGAGAGCUGGGGGCCCCGGCCGGGCCGGGAAGCCGGGGGAAGCCGGGCGUUUCCGCGUCGGCCCGGGGGGAGGGGAAGGGGCGCUGACCCAGACCUGGGGGGAGGGGGCCCAAGCCCCGCCUCGGGCCCCGCCCCCCGCCCCCCGCAGGCCCCUCCCCCGUCCCCGUCUCCGUCCCGUACUCACCCCGCCCGGGGGGCCGCGCCGGGGCCCGGCGGCCUCUCAGGGCCGCGUCCUCCGGCGGCGGCGGCGGCGGCGGCUGCUCCGGAGCCCCAUGUCCGUCGGUCCGUCCUCGCCUCUCCCCGGGGCCCAGGGCCCGGGGCCGGGGGGUCGGGCCGCCCCCCCGCCUCGCCGCCUCACCGGGCGGCCAUGGCCCCUUCCCCUCCCUUCUCGUCCCGUCGCCGCCUCCUCCUCCUCACCUCACCCCGCCCGCGCGCAGUCCGCGCGCCGUCCGCGCGCCCCUCCCCCCGCCCCCCACUCCAGCCCGCCUCUCCCGGGCGGGGGGUGCGGCGCGAGCCCGGAGCGCGCGCGCGUGCCGCGACCGGAGGAUGGAUGGAUGGGGCGAGCGAGAACGCGAGCGUGCGCGCGCGCGCCCCUCUCCCCCUCCCUCCGCGCGGGCGCGAGGCCAAGCGCGAGCGCGCUCCAACCUCCUCCUCUUCCUCCUCCCGCCCCUCUUCAACACCCCGCCCCCGCCCUCCCUUCCUCUUCCUUCUUUCGCUUUCGCGCGCCCAGCGACUGCUCGCGCCUGCUAGAAGGGCCCGAGCGCGUGCAUCUGCCCCGCGGCCGCAGCUCGGCAGCAUUUGCUCCAGGGGGCGGGGACCGGGCGGGGAGGAGGGGCGCCACGCCGCCGUCCAAAGUACCGGCGGACGGGGACGGGGGCGGGGAGAUGGGCGGGGCCUUCUGGAGCCACCUCGGCCAAUCGCCGUCUCGCCUCGGUCCGGUCGGCCCAAUAGGAUGGCGGUGGGUGGAGCGACGUUCAAGGUGAGAGAGAGAGAGCACAAGCAGGGGAGAGACAGACAGCGAGGGAGACAGAGGAUCCAAAGUGGGCUCUGUGCUGACAGCAGAGAGCCUGGUGCGGGGCUCGAACCCACAAACUGCGAGAUCAUGACCUGAGCUGAAGCCAGGAAUCGGAUGCUUAACCAACUACGCCACCCCGGUGCUGUGGGAUGAGCUGGUGGAGACUCUGAAGGUCAUUGAACUUGCAAAAGAAUGAGGCCAAGUCUUCAGGAAGCUCUGAAGUGUGAAUCAGGAAUUCUCCACACCAGUGAUGCUGAUCGGCUUCCUAGUCUCUAAAUAUGCCCAGUGUAUCUGCCCUGAGGAACUUACACAUGCCCAAGAAGCCUUCCUGUCUCCUCUCUGUUUACCUAAAUACUUCCUCACUUUCCCACCCGUGGCCAUCCUCACACCAACUCCUUUACUACUGGAUGGUUCUGUUCAUCCAGGCCCUGGCCUGGGCUGCUCUGUGGCGGUGACCUCUUUGGGAACAUGCCUGGUCUCCCCAGGUAGCACCAAGCAGUCCGCAAAUACUGAGGACCGUGCUGGUCUGGGCCGUGGGUGAGGGCGUGGCGUUAGGGCAGCGAGCCAGAGAAACCCACAGACUUUAUCCUAGUAGAGUCUACACCCCAGCAAAGCCUGGUGUGGGUGAAACAAGACUGUGAAGGCAUCGGGCUGCUGAAGAAACAAAUGGCAUGGGCACUUGGGUGGCUCAGUUGGUUAAGCAUCUGACUCUGGCUCAGGUCAUGAUCUCACAAUUCAUGAGUUUGAGCCCCGCCUUGGGUUCUCCGCUCUCAGCAAGGAGCCCGCUUUAGAUCCUCUGUCUCCUCUCUCUGCCCCCUUCCCUGCUUGCUCUCUCUCUCAGAAAUAAACAUUAAAAAAAAAAAAAAAAAAAAA